GUUUCCGUAGGUGAACCUGCGGAAGGAUCAUUACCGAGUUGAUUCGAGCUCCGGCUCGACUCUCCCACCCCAUGUGUACCUACCUCUGUUGCUUUGGCGGGCCGCGGUCCUCCGCACCGACCCCCGUUCGGGGGCCGGCCAGCGCCCGCCAGAGGACCACAAAACUCCAGUCAGUAAACGUCGCAGUCUGAGAAACAAGUCAAUAAACUAAAACUUUCAACAACGGAUCUCUUGGUUCUGGCAUCGAUGAAGAACGCAGCGAAAUGCGAUAAGUAAUGUGAAUUGCAGAAUUCAGUGAAUCAUCGAAUCUUUGAACGCACAUUGCGCCCCUUGGUAUUCCGAGGGGCAUGCCUGUUCGAGCGUCAUUUCAACCCUCAAGCUCUGCUUGGUAUUGGGCUCCGUCCUCCGCGGACGCGCCUCGAAGACCUCGGCGGUGGCGUCUUGCCUCAAGCGUAGUAGAAAACACCUCGCUUUGGAGCGCACGGCGUCGCCCGCCGGACGAACCUUUGAAUUUUUCUCAAGGUUGACCUCGGAUCAGGUAGGGAUACCCGCUGAACUUAA
rnacentral:rRNA from 1 species